rnacentral:lncRNA from 1 species
CUUUUUUUUCUUUCUUUCUUUUUUUUUUUUUUUUGUACUUUUCUGGCCUUCUUUGUUGCUAAUAAGAAGCCUGCUCUCAUUCUAAUUUUUGUUCCUUUGUAGGUAUUUUAUCCUUUUUCUCUGGCUGUUUUAAGAUUUUUUCUUUUUGUUUUUAUUUAAAAGUAUUGAGGGGAAAUCGUGCUGUGGCUCAGUGGAAAUGAAUCUGACUGAUAUCUAUGAGGAUAUGGGUUCUAGCCUUGGCCCCACUCAGUGGGUUUGAGAUCCGGCGUUGCUGUGAGCUGUGGUGUAGGUCACAGACCUGGUUUGGAUCCCCUGUGGCUGUGGCUGUGGUGUAGGGCUGCAGCUGUAGCUUCCAUAUGCUGUGGGAUGCAGCCCUAAAAAGCAAAAACAAAAAGUAUUGAGAAGAUCAUAAUAAUCAUCCCCCCACCAUGGGCCCAUCUCUCAGCUUCAACAAGUUAUUAAUUCCUGGCCACCUUUGUUUUUUCUGUCUCCCUGCCUACACCCUCUCCCUGCCAGAAUUACUCUGAAUCAAAUCCCAGAGUUCAUAUUAUUUCAUUUAUAAAUACUGUACACUUUUUUUUUUUCUUUUUAGGGCUGCACUCAUAGCAUAUGGAGGUUCCCAGGCUAGGUGUCGAAUCAGAGCUGUAGCCGCUGGCCUACACCACAGCCACAGCAACGCAGGAUCCAAGCUGCAUCUGUGACCUACACCACAGCUCACGGCAAUGCCGGAUCCUUAAUCCACUGAGCAAGGCUAGGGAUUGAACCGGCAACCUCAUGGUUCCUAGUCAGAUUCGUUUCCACUGUGCCACGACGGGAACUCCUUAAUAAUACUCUUUUUAAAAGGAAAACAUUAAAAAUAUAUUAUGGAGUACAAAGCAAAUUAUACCCGAAAUUUUAAGAUAAAAGAGGUUGAAAGAAUUUGUAAAUACACAGGACUUGAGGCAACUCUCUAGAUCCCCGAGGCUGCCAAUUUAUCUUCUCCUGCGUCUGAAGUUAGGGGCACCGCAGAGAGUGUUUAUUAACUUCAGAGGCUGGAUCAUCUCCCCAGGAUCACAGAAGUGAAUUGCUGGGAGAACCAGAACUAGAAUUUCCAAUUCAGAGAGCUUUGCUCUAAUCCAUGCUCUCUUUAGUCUUACCAAAGUCCUGAAAAAGAGGCGGGGAGUGGGAGCUGGGGCCGUGGAGAAAUAGGAGCUGAUAGUUCCUAAUUUAUCAGAAGAGAAAUUUGACCCCCCCCCUUUCGAAAUGCUUUGUUCCCUCCAAUCAUGGGACAGACACACCUGUGCCUUCCAUGGGAUGUACUUUUGCUCUCAAUUAAUUUGUUUCGAGAAAUUGGAACCUAGUAUAUGCCAAGAACUCUUCUGAGCCCUGGGAACACUGCUGUGAGCAAAGCCGAUGUCCUCCCUCCCAUGGGUGGGGGGAGAUAUGGGCCCUAACAAGUGGAUGUCAGUCAUAUAAACUCCAUGGAGAAAGGGACACAGGGCAAGGGGUGUGAAGGGUCAGAGGGCCAGCAGGGUAACCCUCCUGAAACGAAUUCAGGUCUCACAGCUUGCUGCUUGAAAAUCAACUCUUGAGUGACAAGUCUUGGUAGAAAUGGAAAAUGUUGCUUUUAAUCAGAAAGAUGGCUAUCGGAAGAACCCGACCGGUGUCCCCAGAAACCAACUCCGAAGAUACUGCUCCACCAUGAAAAUUUUCAAAGGGAAAAGGAGAAGUGAUCUCAACUAAUUAUGGAGAUGGGGAGGGAGGGUUGGAGUCAUUGCCAUCCCCGCUGCAGGCAGGCUUGUCAACUCCUCGUGCUCUUUCUCAGAUGCUGUCUUGUUCACACAGUUUGUUUGCAAGAUUACGGAAGGAGAGGCUAGGGAAGAAAUCUGAUCUUCUGUUCGUUAUUCUACAUUUCGACUUCUUUGGUCUAAGGAAGCAACCAGUAGGUUAGGCAAGGUAUUGUGUGAUCAGAAGAUCUGAUAGGUGUGCUAGGGCCGGAGAUGAGUAGAGCAUGGGGUGGCCAGGUUUAAGGUUAGUGACAAGAUAGCUUUGGUCAGAGUUCCUGUCGUGGCGCAGCGGAAACGAAUCAGACUAGGAACCAUGAGGUUUCGGGUUCCACCCCUGGCCUCACUCAGUGGGUUAAGGAUCUAGCGUUGCGGUGAGCUGUGGUGUGGGUUGCAGACAUGGCCUGGAUCCGGCAUUGCUGGGACUCUGGUGUAGGCCAGCAGUUGUAGCUCUGAUUAGACCCCUAGCCUGGGAACCUCCUGAUGCCCCAAGUGUGGCCCUAAAAAGACAAAAGGAAAAAAAAAAAGAUAGCUUUGCUCAAGUGACAAGACAAAAGGGGUUUCCUGCUUAUAUUCUGAUAAGGAGGCAGAGACCUGGGAUGGGGGAGUGAGGAGUGGCCCCAAAAAGACCAAAAAAAAAAAAAUACCAUAGUAAGCAUCUUGAAGCAUACAGUUGAGUAGUGUUAAGUUUUACACUUAUGUGCAAAAAUCUCUAGAGCUCUCUUCCUCUUACAAAACUAAAAAUCUAGGGAGUUCCCAUUUUGGUGCAGCGGAGAUGAAUCAGACUAGUAACCAUGAGGUUGUGGGUUCAAUCCCUGGCCUUGAUCAGUGGAUUAGGGAUCUGGUGUUGCCCUGAGCUGUGGUUUAGGUCGCAGACACGGCUGGAAUCCCAAGCUGCUGUGGCUGUGGCAUAGGCUGGCGGCUACAGCUCUGAUUCCACCCCUAUGCUGCAAACCUCCAUAUGCCUUGGGUGCAGCCCUAAAAAGCAAAAACAAAACAACAACAAAAAAGACUAAAACUCUAUACCCAUUAAACAACAACCUAAUUUCCCCCUUGACUCA